AGAAAACAUCUGGGCCGAAGCCAGUGGAGCGACGCCCGUACGCCGCACCCGCCCUAGGCCGAGCUCCCGAGCACGCCGCAGCCUCGACCUUGCGACCCGCCGGCGACCGGAUCCUCGCCGGAGAUGAGUGCCGUCGUGCCCUGCUCCCUCUCCUCUUCCUCUGUCUCCUCUCACCUCGCUCAUCACCCGAUCUCUCUGUCCCCAGGAAGAAUAGGAGCAUGCCAUGGCCUCGGAUCCGCGCCGCCGUCGUCGUAGAACGUCGUCCGCCACCGGUUCUCGGACCACAAUUACUGGAUCAAGUUGCCCCGUCUCCGAUCUACCUCGUCAUCGGGCAUGCACAGAGACGGCUAUGUCCAUCCGAUUCCCGAGCGCCGCCGGCCAAGGUGGCCGCCCGUGGCCGCCUGAUGCACGAGCGCCGCCGGCCAAGGACCCGCCUGCGUCCAGAACCCCUCCACGCAUCAUGUUUUCUAUGGUUUUGUUUUCCCCGCCUCCAUCUCUUCCAUGACAAGCAGCACAAUUUUCUUUGUUUGUAAAUUAAGCAGUCUGGUAGACUUGGAAAGAAAGGAAUUGCAGAUUUCAAAAGGAGGAACAGGGUAUAUACAUCGGCAUAAGAUUUGGAAAGGAGGAACAGGGCGCCGGAGACAGAGGGAUCCGGUGCAGACUCGAUGCCCUCCACCGAAACCCCUACUCAAUUGCUUCUCGUGCUCGAGUUUGACACAGGCGCCAUCGCAGCUAGGGACGCUGAUGUGGAGGCCGGAGACAGAGGGAUCUCGUGUUCAUGGAGGCCGCCAACACAUGGGCCGUGGACACAUCGUAGUGUUCCUUCCAGGGCUCCAGACGUGGAUGGGCGUGGAUUUCUCCCAGGCGAUCGUCGACAGAGCUUGCUCCAGAUACUCCCAAUUGUGCGCCCGAUUAUUCAAGGAAGUGACAGCCACUGGAAGCACGGAUCGACAAAUUAGACAGUAGACCCAGGCCAUGGAUCGGUUGAUUCAACACCGAAGGAAGAGGCAAUAGGUUAUAAAAACGAGCUGGGGGAUUUUUACUGGCCUGAAUCUUAAACAUGGCCGCCCUGCUGAUGGACUCAAGCUCCAGCUGUCAGAAGUCUACGGACAGUCAAGUAAUAGAUACGAACCCUUGAUUGAAGGAGAACUCUGUGCACUUCUGAUAGCAUCCGGACCGUAAAUCUGUAGCAGGUCCUCAACGAAUCAUUCCAAGGCAUACAUGUAGCAGGUCCUGAACAUAUCAUCCAGACCAUGUUUCACACGUCGUGUGCUUAUGUAAUUCGGUUUUUACAAUACAUCUUUUUUGAUCAAUAAGCAUCUACAUUGUUCUUGUAAUCUAAUUAAAGGCCAACUAUUUCUCUGGCAUAUGGUGAAUUGACCAUGGAAGGAUUUGUCUUGCUAAGCA